rnacentral:rRNA from 1 species
UACGAAGGGUGCAAGCGUUACUCGGAAUCACUGGGCGUAAAGCGUGCGUAGGCGGUUUCUUAAGUCUGUCGUGAAAGCCCUGGGCUCAACCUGGGAACGGCGAUGGAUACUGGGAAGCUAGAAUGUGAGAGAGGAUGGUGGAAUUCCCGGUGUAGCGGUGAAAUGCGUAGAGAUCGGGAGGAACACCGGUGGCGAAGGCGGCAUCCUGGACCAAUACUGACACUGAGGAGCGAAAGCCAGGGGAGCAAACGGG